UACGUAGGGUGCGAGCGUUGUCCGGAAUUAUUGGGCGUAAAGAGCUCGUAGGCGGUGUGUCACGUCGGCCGUGAAAACCUGCAGCUUAACUGUGGGCGUGCGGUCGAUACGGGCAUCACUGGAGUUCGGCAGGGGAGACUGGAAUUCCUGGUGUAGCGGUGAAAUGCGCAGAUAUCAGGAGGAACACCGGUGGCGAAGGCGGGUCUCUGGGCCGAAUACUGACGCUGGAGGAGCGAAAAGCGUGGGGAGCGAACAGG
rnacentral:rRNA from 1 species